GCUUGUCGACACUUGCAAUCGGCCUCCCGCGGCACCCAGCACCCGGUUUUGGCACGAUCUUUCUCACGACCACCCGAACGGCAUCCGAUCCACGAUCCGAAAAUUAAAGGUCUUCGGUUAUGUGCCACGGUGCUCCAAUCCAUUUCCACGAUUUUACGACGUCGCCUCGGCCCUCCAGGCGGCAACGAAGCCUAAACGUCCGUUUCUUUAAUAACUUCGCAACGGCUCGUCGGAUUGCUGAACCGUAUUCGCCAACGCGUUUGUUUACCUAGCAAUUAGGUUUACGAAGGGUUAAAUUAGAUCAAACCCUCAUAUUUCACAAACUAGCAUUUUGAACCCUAGGUUUACAACUAGAUAAAAAUCCACCAAAUUCCUUCAUGAAUCAAGUAUCAUUCAUCUAGAUAGCAUGCUAGGAUUCCUCUAAAUCCAUUUAUAAGGUAUUUAAACCAACCAUUAAGGAUCUACCAUUAAAAGGUAGCAAGAGCUUACCUCUCAAGCUUGCCCUCAAGGUGGAGAAGAUGAAGAAGACGAAGGCGAUUCACCUCCAAGCUUCAAUCUCCACCAAAUCCAUCCAUUUUGGGAGAGAUUUAGAGAGAGAAAGGAGAGUUUCUCUCUCUCCCUUCCAUACGUGUGUGGGUGUGUGUCGUGGGCGAGCACGGCUGGGAGGAAGAAGAAGAAAAGGGGUUUAAAACCCUUUUUACCAUUUUGCCCCUCAACUAUACACUAUUCACUACGGG
rnacentral:lncRNA from 1 species